UAGAUCAUCCAUAGAUUUACAACAUACAUAAAAUUAAGCCAAAAUCAAAAAUUUUAGUAUGAUCUCUUCUUAUUUUGCAAAUUUUAAGAUAUAUUUUGGUAUUUUAAAAAAAGAGAAAAUGAGAUAGGGAAGAGGAAGCAUACCUUAUUUACGGUCGGAUUCUUCUUCAAUCAUGCUGAAUCAACGUGUCUUUCACCGUGGGGAAGGGGGUUAUUCGAAUAGGUAGCUUCUCGGGCCUUCCUACCGUUAAACCAGAAGGAAGAGAGAGGGGAGGGGGUUAUUCGAAUAGGUAGCUUCUCGGUCGGAUCCUUGUUACAUGAUGACUGACAACUUAGUUAAUCUGUCUGCUUUGUUACCAGAUCGGCUCUGGUGCUUCAUGCUUACUCUGAUGCUGAUCUUCAGGUAAUCUUGUUGAUUGACAUUCCACCAUGAGCUUCUAUAUCAUUUCUCUAGAGAUUCUUAUCUAUUGGAAGAGCAAGAAGCUAGACAUGGCAUCUCCACUGUAGUGCUUAGGCAG
rnacentral:lncRNA from 1 species